UACGUAGGGCGCAAGCGUUGUCCGGAAUUAUUGGGCGUAAAGAGCGUGUAGGCGGCCGCACAGGUCCGUUGUGAAAACUGGAGGCUUAACCUUCAGACGUCGAUGGAAACCGUGCGGCUAGAGUCCGGAAGAGGAGAAUGGAAUUCCUGGUGUAGCGGUGAAAUGCGCAGAUAUCAGGAAGAACACCCGUGGCUAAGGCGGUUCUCUAGUACGGUACUGACGCUGAGACGCGAAAGCGUGGGGAGCGAACAGG
rnacentral:rRNA from 1 species